ensembl:lncRNA
GAGAAAGUUGUGUCUGUUCUGUUAGGACUCUGUAGAAGGACUGUAACUGUCUGAGGAUGACAAUGGCGCAGUGUCUGUCUUCGCACAACUUAAUAGUUCUGCUCCUGUUGGUGCUCACAACAGAAAGUAAAGAAUGUGAUAUUCAGGACCCGGUCACAGCAGUGCAGAAUUCUGCAGUUACGCUUAGGUGUCCUCUAUCUUCACCACAGCCUGGAAUCACACAGGUCUUCUGGGAGGCUGUUCAUGGUGACACUGCAGAACGUAUUAACGAGUGCCCCCCAUCCUGCCCCCCAGCGGGCAACAACAACAAAACCCAGCGGUGUGAGAGAGUGAGAACUGUUCAGGAUAAUGCAACAGGAACAGGAACCCUGACCAUUAGUCCUGUAAACUCCCAGGAUGCUCUUUGGUAUCGGUGUACAGUGCAAACUGGCAAUGUGAAAAAUUGCUCUGAAGUAAAGCUAAACGUUAAAGAUGAGCCUCCAGUUCAGCACCUCACUAAAGGCUGUACAUUUAUUGAUCCAUUUUAUGCCGUGGUGAACUCAACCGUCACAUAUUCUGCCCCUGUGCCACAUCCUAAUGCCACACAGAUCGUGUGGGGGAUCAAUGAACUAGAUCGGGUAGUUCCUAUAACCCGCUGCCCUUCACCCUGCACCUCCAGCAGAACUCGGAGACCCCUGUGUGAGAGAGUUCAGACAGUGGAAGAUGCUGCAUCAGGGAAAUCAUCACUGACUAUCAGUCCUGUAGAGGAAACAGAUACUUCGUGGUUAUCGUUCAUUGUGAAUGCUUCUUCAUGCUACACAUUUAGGCUUCACGUCAAAGGUUGGUUCCAAACAAAUUCAUCUUGUUUGCCAAAGUGGCCAUUUUUAAGUCAGCAUACUUUGAAUAAUUGCACUUUUACUGUUUCCUUUCAGAAAACAACUCUCAAACAACUAAAGGUAGGCCAUGUU